rnacentral:pre_miRNA from 1 species
GAUUUCAAUUGAAAAAGUCAUCAACAACAAAGUUGAAUAACUCAUCAAGAUCUAAAACUUUUAUUUUUGUUAUUUCUUCAUCCGACGAAAUGUUAGUAAUAUUAUUCACAAAUUUUACAUAUAUGUGUUAUAGUUUAUAAAACCAGAUAAGAGAUAUGUCAAUUUUGUGAACAAUGUUACUAUCACUUUGUCGUAUGAAGAAAUGACCAAAAUAAAAGUUUUAGAUCUUGAUGAGUUAUUCAACUUUGUUGUUGAUGACUUUUUCAGUUGANNNN